UCGAACGCGAAAGUCCCCUUCGGGGGACAAGUAGAGUGGCGCCCGGGUGAGUAACACGUAGGUAAUCUACCUUUGGGUGGGGAAUAACGCAGGGAAACUUGCGCUAAUACCGCAUAAUGCAGCGGCACCACAUGGUGACAGUUGUUAAAGCGGGGGAUUUUCGAACCUCGCGCCUAAAGAGGAGCCUGCGGCAGAUUAGCUGGUUGGUAAGGUAACGGCUUACCAAGGCGACGAUCUGUAGCCGGCCUGAGAGGGCGGUCGGCCACACUGACACUGACAUACGGGUCAGACUCCUACGGGAGGCAGCAGUCGGGAAUUUUGGGCAAUGGGCGAAAGCCUGACCCAGCAACGCCGCGUGAAGGAUGAAAUCCUUCGGGAUGUAAACUUCGCAAGAAUGGGAAGAAUGAGCGAGCGCUAACACCGUUCGUGAUGACGGUACCAUUUGUAAGCUCCGGCUAACUCCGUGCCAGCAGCCGCGGUAAUACGGGGGGAGCAAGCGUUGUUCGGAUUUACUGGGCGUAAAGGGCGCGUAGGCGGCCAGCGCAAGUCAGUUGUGAAAUCUCCGGGCUUAACUCGGAACGGUCAACUGAUACUGCGCGGCUAGAGUGCGGAAGGGGCAACUGGAAUUCUCGGUGUAGCGGUGAAAUGCGUAGAUAUCGAGAGGAACACCUGCGGCGAAGGCGGGUUGCUGGGCCGACACUGACGCUGAUGCGCGAAAGCCA
rnacentral:rRNA from 1 species